rfam:Genlisea aurea contig_557, whole genome shotgun sequence.
GAGUCGAUAGCUCAGCAGGUAGAGCACUCGGCUUUUAACCGAUCGGUCCUGGGUUCGAAUCCCAGUCGGCUCA